GCCCGUCGGCGCGUGCGGCCCGAGCCAGACCAGUGUGGACCGGCUGGUGGCGCGGUCAGCACGCCCGUCGCCCAGCUGCGUGCAGUGUCGUGCCACGACAGCGGGAUGAGGCGGCGGCGGCGCGACGGCCGACCUGCCUGCGCGUCACGUGACGUGUGACGUCAGUCUGCCCUGCGGCGGGAUGCCGGAGGCCGGCCAUCACGGAUGGCUGACGAGGCGCAGCCUCAGCCUCCUGCUCCUGCUCCUGCUGGUCUCCGGCUGCGCCGGCAACCCUGACGCCAAGCGGCUCUACGACGACCUGCUCUCCAACUACAACAAGCUGGUGCGACCGGUGGUCAACGUCACCGACCCGCUCAAGGUGCAGAUCAAGCUGAAGCUCUCCCAGCUCAUCGACGUGGCAUGUUAUGAUCCGUUCACAUGGCCGCACGGUGAACCACCUGUUCCACACGGAUGCUGCGCGUCGGAUGUGCGACGAAAGCAGAAUCUGAAGAACCAGAUCAUGACGACGAACCUGUGGGUAGAACAGCACUGGGAGGACUACAAGCUGAAGUGGGAGCCGAAGGAGUAUGGUGGCGUGACCAUGCUGCACGUGCCAUCCGAUCACAUCUGGAGGCCCGAUAUCGUGCUCUACAACAAUGCGGACGGCAACUUCGAGGUGACACUGGCGACGAAGGCGACGCUCUACUAUGACGGCAAAGUGGAGUGGAAGCCGCCGGCCAUCUACAAGUCCUCCUGCGAGAUCGACGUCGAAUACUUCCCCUUCGACGAGCAGACGUGCGUCAUGAAGUUCGGCAGCUGGACGUACGACGGGAAGCAGGUGGACCUUCGACACGUGGAGGAGACCCCUCCAGAUCCAAAAGUGAAGAUCGGAGUUGACCUAUCUGACUUCUACCUCUCCGUAGAGUGGGAUAUACUAGAUGUGCCAGCAAUACGACACGAAAAGUUUUAUACGUGCUGUAACGAGCCCUACUUGGACAUCACGUUCAACAUCACCAUGCGGAGGAAGACGCUGUUCUACACAGUCAACCUCAUCAUCCCCUGUAUGGGCAUCUCCUUCUUGACGGUGCUGGUUUUCUACCUCCCGUCGGAUAGUGGAGAGAAGGUCAGCUUGUCCAUCAGCAUCUUGCUGUCGCUCACUGUGUUCUUCCUUCUGCUCGCCGAGAUCAUCCCACCGACUUCGCUGGUGGUGCCCCUGCUCGGCAAGUUCGUCCUCUUCACGAUGAUACUUGACACGUUGAGCAUAUGCGUGACGGUGGUAGUGCUCAACAUUCACUUCCGGUCGCCGCAGACCCACUCGAUGGCGCCGUGGGUGCGGCGGGUGUUCAUCCAUAUCCUGCCCCGGUUGCUGGUGAUGCGUCGCCCCCAGUACAGCACCUACGACCGGCACAGAGUGCUGAUCCGUACCUGUAACGGCCUGGAGGUGCGAGAGGCGGCUUCUCAGCUGUACAAGGACACCCACGCCGGCACCACUGGCUUCCACAGUGAGCCGUUCAAGGAUCACGGCCUCUGCUACCCGCCGUCUUCCACCGUCAGUGACCUCACGCCCAGGGCCGAUCUGGACGCGCUGGGCCUGAAUACGCCGUGCCGUGUCCAUGGCAACCCCAGCCCGUCGGGUGGCGACUUCGGCAGGCACAAGACGCGCUUAUGCGACUUCGGCUACUGUCCGGAGGUGUUCCGCGCCUUCGAGGGCGUCAAGUUCAUUGCCGAGAGCACCAGGCGGGAACAGGACACCACUAGGGUGCGCGAGGACUGGAAGUACGUGGCGAUGGUGCUGGACCGGCUGUUCCUGUGGAUCUUCACGCUGGCCGUGCUGGUCGGCACGGCCGGCAUCAUCCUGCAGGCGCCCACGCUCUACGACGACCGCCGGCCGAUUGACGAGCAGUACAGCGAAAUCCAGACCCCGCGGGACCGGCAGCGCGGACGCCAGUAGAGGCUGGACCGCGGCGGGACCUGGUGCUGGCGAGAUCCAGACCCCACGGGACCGGCAGCGCGGGCGCCAGUAGAGGCCGGACCGCGGCGGGACCUGGUGCUGGCGAGAUCCAGACCCCACGGGACCGGCAGCGCGGGCGCCAGUAGAGGCCGGACCGCGGCGGGACCUGGUGCUGGCGAGAUCCAGACCCAACGGGACCGGCAGCGCGGGCGCCAGUAGAGGCCGGACCGCGGCGGGACCCGGUGCUGGCGAGAUCCAGACCCCACGGGACCGGCAGCGCGGGCGCCAGUAGAGGCCGGACCGCGGCGGGACCCGGUGCUGGCGAGAUCCAGACCCCACGCUUCAUGUAUGGCUCGGUGCUGGAAUGCCGAGCCUCCCGCAGCGAGCGGCACCUUGACUGCCACGUGGCCCGCUCGCCGGCAGCCUCUGAAGUGUUGCUGUCUCGCCAAACCAUCCUCACGUGUCACCGUCGCUUCCGCCCCCGCAGCCGCGCGGCCGUGCGGGCGUCGGUCGGGCCGGCGACGUCACCUCCUCAUGACCCCGCUGACCCCGUGCUGACAUCGCGCUGACCCCGUCGUCCGGCGCCGAAACAGACUGGAGAGUUUCAUCCCAUGCUCAAUGGACGGUUCGGCGCGGUUUUUGCUAAGCGACGAACGGCCGCAGAGCGGCGGCGGCGUGCAUCCUGCCGCGGGCGCUCUCCGACGCUGUGUGCAGCGCGCCCCGGCAGCGCCACUCAGAAGGAGGGAGGGCCAGGCGGAGGACACGCUGCACAGGAUGGCCGCGCGACGUCGUCCGGGCAGCGACCCAGCGCUGCCCUCCUGCUGUAACUGUAAGGUGUUUGAGCGGCGGCGCUGCCAUCAGCGGUGGUGACGACGACACCCUUGUCAGGGAUGGGCACGUCCGCUGCGCGCUGAUCUCCUCAGCGUCGCCAAUGUCGCCACCUGCUCAGACUGGCACAGUCCGUGUGUGAUCUCGCAUUGGCAAUACUUCUGGGCCGGGAUGGGUCCGUUCAACUGCGUCGCGGAUCUGGAUGUUUGGUUGGCAGAUGCUGGGGUGGUACGAGGGUUUGAUGAGGCUUAAUCAAGUGCGAUGUUUGGAGAUACAUGCGGCGAUCUCAUUCAGCAUACGCCGAUGUGGUGUUGCCGUGUGCCAUUGACGAACAACUGUCGCUUUCUGACUGUUUAUGUAGAAAUAUAUCACGUACAUCCAG